rnacentral:rRNA from 1 species
GUCCUAGCCGUAAACGAUGGACACUAGGUGUUGGUGGUAUCAACCCCGCCAGUGCCGAAGCUAACGCAUUAAGUGUCCCGCCUGGGGAGUACGGCCGCAAGGCUAAAACUCAAAGGAAUUGAUGGGGCCCGCACAAGCAGCGGAGCGUGGGGUUUAAUUCGACGCGACGCGAAGAACCUUACCAGGACUUGACAUGGCCAGGACCGCGGCGGAAACGCCGCUUCCCCCGCAAGGGGGCCUGGUCACAGGUGUUGCAUGGCUGUCGU